rnacentral:siRNA from 1 species
UGAGACCUAUUUACUUGGGUAU